GUCAUGUCGAAAUGUGUCAGGACGGGAAUGAAUGCGUGGUAGUGAAGGAGUGAGGUAGACUGAACAAACAUGACUAAAUAAAAACGGUGGCUCGAGGGCGCUGAAACGUUGCCCGCUCCACCCCGCUGCGGCAUCGAAGAGCUAUCACAUCUUGCCGCGCAGUGCGCUUGACUGAGGACCAUCGUGGACGUCCCGCCAUUUCAUCUUUAAAGUCGGCGAUUUAACAUCCGCACAAUGGCACUGCGAAGAAAGAAAUCGAGUCAUUCAGAAGUGAAGCUGCCACCGGUAGCUGUAGAUGCAAGUUAUCAACCCUUCAGGAGAGACCAAUUUAAGGAUUGUUUUCUUCUUAAAUUUAGGGCCGAAAAACAAAAACAACUGAAGCUCCAGAGACACCUCGAGCUGCGCGCCAUGCUGGACAAGGCGCGCGUGUAUGAGCGUCUACAGCGGCGCCCGUUCCCCACCGGUUGGGAGCCCACAUUCAAGGACCAGCACCACAUCAGCUUCCUGCAGGACUGCGUGGGGCUGUCGCCUAUCCCGCCCGUCUCCGAGCUGUGGCUGCACAACAUGGUCCAGGUCAGAGACACAGGUCAGGUCCGGAGGUCAGGAAG